rnacentral:lncRNA from 1 species
CCCUGUCCGUUUCUAGGCCAAUAACACUGCUAUUGAUUUGUGGGCAGUAGGGGCGGAUAUUAUACAUCUGAUUGUUUGCUGUAGCCUGUAGUGACCAAGAAAGCAUCAGCCAUUUACUGUUUGGUGAUUGUCCAUGAUUAUAGUACUAUAGGACAUGGACACCAUUCUCGAUUUCUGAAGGUUCGCCUCAUCUACCUUUGAAAACCUGCAUAAAUUUGUCCGUUUGAAACGAGGUUUUGAGAAACUAAACUGAAGAGGUUAAUGAAAUUAAAUAUUAUACAUCUUACUGAACCGUUAAUUGAAAACACUCGACAUAUUAAAC